GACGAACGCUGGCGGCGUGCCUAAUACAUGCAAGUAGAACGCUGAAGCUUGGUGCUUGCACCGAGCGGAUGAGUUGCGAACGGGUGAGUAACGCGUAGGUAACCUGCCUGGUAGCGGGGGAUAACUAUUGGAAACGAUAGCUAAUACCGCAUAAUAGUAGAUGUUGCAUGACAUUUGCUUAAAAGGUGCAAUUGCAUCACUACCAGAUGGACCUGCGUUGUAUUAGCUAGUUGGUGAGGUAACGGCUCACCAAGGCAACGAUACAUAGCCGACCUGAGCGGGUGAUCGGCCACACUGGGACUGAGACACGGCCCAGACUCCUACGGGAGGCAGCAGUAGGGAAUCUUCGGCAAUGGACGGAAGUCUGACCGAGCAACGCCGCGUGAGUGAAGAAGGUUUUCGGAUCGUAAAGCUCUGUUGUAAGAGAAGAACGAGUGUGAGAGUGGAAAGUUCACACUGUGACGGUAACUGACCAGAAAGGGACGGCUAACUACGUG
rnacentral:rRNA from 1 species